AGAAUCUGGUUUCUCUUCAGAUCGUAUAAAUCUUUCGCCUUUUACUAAAGAUUUCCGUGGAGAGGAGCAUUUAUGAGUUUUUAUGGCAAGAAAAUAUUCUUCAGUCAUGGUUUCAAUAUU